GAUGAACGCUGGCGGCGUGCCUAAUACAUGCCAGUCGAGCGAACGGACGAGAAGCUUGCUUCUCUGAUGUUAGCGGCGGACGGGUGAGUAACACGUGGAUAACCUACCUAUAAGACUGGGAUAACUUCGGGAAACCGGAGCUAAUACCGGAUAAUAUUUUGAACCGCAUGGUUCAAAAGUGAAAGACGGUCUUGCUGUCACUUAUAGCUGGAUCAGCGCUGCAUUAGCUAGUUGGUAAGGUAACGGCUUACCAAGGCAACGAUGCAUAGCCGACCUGAGAGGGUGAUCGGCCACACUGGAACUGAGACACGGUCCAGACUCCUACGGGAGGCAGCAGUAGGGAAUCUUCUGCAAUGGGCGAAAGCCUGACGGAGCAACGCCGCGUGAGUGAUGAAGGUCUUCGGAUCGUAAAACUCUGUUAUUAGGGAAGAACAUAUGUGUAAGUAACUGUGCACAUCUUGACGGUACCUAAUCAGAAAGCCACGGCUAACUACGUG
rnacentral:rRNA from 1 species